rnacentral:rRNA from 1 species
ACCACCCUGGUGACUUUGAGGUUCUAACCCGGAUCCAUUAUCUGGAUCGGGGACCGUGCAUGGUAGGCAGUUUGACUGGGGCGGUCUCCUCCCAAAGAGUAACGGAGGAGUUCGAAGGUUACCUAGGUCCGGUCGGAAAUCGGACUGAUAGUACAAUGGCACAAGGUAGCUUAACUGCGAGACCGACAAGUCGAGCAGGUGCGAAAGCAGGACAUAGUGAUCCGGUGGUUCUGAAUGGAAGGGCCAUCGCUCAACGGAUAAAAGGUACUCCGGGGAUAACAGGCUGAUUCCGCCCAAGAGUUCAUAUCGACGGCGGAGUUUGGCACCUCGAUGUCGGCUCAUCACAUCCUGGGGCUGUAGUCGGUCCCAAGGGUAUGGCUGUUCGCCAUUUAAAGUGGUACGUGAGCUGGGUUUAAAACGUCGUGAGACAGUUUGGUCCCUAUCUGCAGUGGGCGUUGGAAGUUUGACGGGGGCUGCUCCUAGUACGAGAGGACCGGAGUGGACGAACCUCUGGUGUACCGGUUGUGACGCCAGUCGCAUCGCCGGGUAGCUAAGUUCGGAAGAGAUAAACGCUGAAAGCAUCUAAGCGUGAAACUCGCCUGAAGAUGAGACUUCCCUAGGGAUUUAAUCCCUCUGAAGAGACGUUCGAGACCAGGACGUUGAUAGGUCGGGUGUGGAAGAGUGGUAACACUUGGAGCUAACCGAUACUAAUUGCUCGUGAGGCUUGACUCUAU